AAUUCAGUUUAGUUCAGUAAAAGCAAUUUUUCAGAGCAGUUUGUGCUACUUUGUACACAGGAAUGGAAAACAACAUAAACAAAGAAGAAAAAUUUGCUUUUGAUUUAACAGAUGCAGAUAACCAAACGUAAUUAAAAAUGUUUGCAUACCUACAAAAUGAAUUCGGGGAAUAUUCGCGCGAUGCCAAUGUUGAUGUCGGUAAGGCUUUUAUGAGACACUCUGUAUACUGGAAAAUAAUUAAACGUAUGCAGAUCGCAAAUCUAAGUAGAGACAAAAUCGUAUUUAAGGCAGUUUCAAAAGAAAUAGUCAAAAUUGUAAGACGUCUCCUGAAUGCGGGAUAAUCUGAAAAAAAAUUAAGUGAAGAAAAUAUCCGCAACGAAUAUAAAUUGCUUCCGACAGCAAAAUGAUCUAAAGAGAAUUAAAUUAGACAAAUAAUAAAAUGUACAACUCAA